rnacentral:rRNA from 1 species
GAUGAACGCUAGCUACAGGCUUAACACAUGCAAGUCGAGGGGAAACGACAUCGAAAGCUUGCUUCCGAUGGGCGUCGACCGGCGCACGGGUGAGUAACGCGUAUCCAACCUGCCCACCACUUGGGGAUAACCUUGCGAAAGUAAGACUAAUACCCAAUGAUAUCUCUAGAAGACAUCUGAAAGAGAUUAAAGAUUUAUCGGUGAUGGAUGGGGAUGUGUCUGAUUAGCUUGUUGGCGGGGUAACGGCCCACCAAGGCGACGAUCAGUAGGGGUUCUGAGAGGAAGGUCCCCCACAUUGGAACUGAGACACGGUCCAAACUCCUACGGGAGGCAGCAGUGAGGAAUAUUGGUCAAUGGACGAGAGUCUGAACCAGCCGAGUAGCGUGCAGGAAGACGGCCCUAUGGGUUGUAAACUGCUUUUAUAAGGGAAUAAAGUGAGUCUCGUGAGACUUUUUGCAUGUACCUUAUGAAUAAGGACCGGCUAAUUCCGUGCCAGCCGCCGCAGUAA